rnacentral:rRNA from 1 species
AGCUCCAAUAGCGUAUAUUUAAGUUGUUGCAGUUAAAAGGCUCGUAGUCGAAUUUCGGAUGCAUCACAGUGAUCCGCCUCUGGUGAGUAUUGCUGUUGAUGCAUCUUUCUGUUGAGGACAGGCUCUCAGUCUUAAUUGAUUGGGACCUGGGCUCAACGAGGUUACUUUGAGUAAAUUAGAGUGUUCAAAGCAGGCGAUCGCCUUGAAUACAUUAGCAUGGAAUAGCACGAUAGGACUCUGGCCUAUCU